UUUAACUGAGCGUUCAGUUACUUGACGUAGACCCGAAACCGGGCGACCUACCCAUGAGCAGGAUGAAGCGAAAGUAAAAUUUCGUGGAGGUCCGAACCCACGAGCGUUGAAAAGCUCGGGGAUGACUUGUGGGUAGCGGUGAAAUUCCAAUCGAGCCCGGAGAUAGCUGGUUCUCCCCGAAAUAGCUUUAGGGCUAGCCUCAAGGUGAGAGAUACGGAGGUAGAGCACUGAAUGUCCUAGGGGGUAUUGCACCUACCGAAGACUAUCAAACUCCGAAUGCCGUCAUCUUAUACUUGGGAGUCAGACUGUGGGUGAUAAGAUUCAUAGUCGAAAGGGCAACAGCCCAGAUCGUCAGCUAAGGUCCCUAAAUGUAAGUUAAGUGGUAAAGGAUGUGGGAUUGCACAGACAACCAGGAUGUUGGCUUAGAAGCAGCCACUCAUUCAAAGAGUGCGUAAUAGCUCACUGGUCGAGUGAUCCUGCGCCGAAGAUUUCCGGGGCUAAAACUUACUACCGAAGCUACGGCAUCAGUAAUGAUGGGUAGGGGAGCUUCCCAUACGGGUUGAAGCAUGACCGUAAGGACAUGUGGACAGUAUGGGAGUGAGAAUGUUGGCAUGAGUAGCGAGAUGUGGGUGAGAAUCCCACAGGCCGUAAACCCAAGGUUUCCAGGGGAAGGUUCGUCCGCCCUGGGUUAGUCGGGACCUAAGCUGAGGCCGAAAGGCGUAGGUGAUGGACAACAGGUUGAUAUUCCUGUACUACCGAUAACCGUUUGAGAGAUGGGAUGACACAGUAGGAUAAGCUAAGCACACUGUUGGUUAUGUGUGCCCAAGCAUUGAGGCAGUCAAAGUAGGCAAAUCCGCUUUGAUAAUGCUGGGAUGUGAUGGGGAGCGAAAUUUAGUAGCGAAGUAGUUGAUUUCACACUGUCAAGAAAAGUCUCUAUCGAGGUUAAAGGUACCCGUACCGCAAACCGACACAGGUGGGUGAGGAGAGUAUCCUAAGGCCAGCGAGAGAACUGUUGUUAAGGAACUCGGCAAAAUGACCCCGUAACUUAGGGAUAAGGGGUGCCACCAUCAGGUGGCCGCAGAGAAUAGGCCCAAGCGACUGUUUACCAAAAACAUAGGUUUCUGCUAAGUCGCAAGACGAUGUAUAGGAGCUGACGCCUGCCCGGUGCUGGAAGGUUAAGGGGAUCUGUUAGAGCAAUCGAAGCAGUGAACUUAAGCCCCAGUAAACGGCGGCCGUAACUAUAACGGUCCUAAGGUAGCGAAAUUCCUUGUCGGGUAAGUUCCGACCCGCACGAAAGGCGUAACGAUUUGGGCACUGUCUCAACAACAGACUCGGUGAAAUUGUAAUUCCGGUGAAGAUGCCGGAUACCUGCGACAGGACGGAAAGACCCCAUGGAGCUUUACUGUAGCUUGACAUUGGGUCUUGGUACUACAUGUACAGGAUAGGUGGGAGGCUUUGAAACCAGGACGCCAGUUUUGGCGGAGCCAUCCUUGGGAUACCACCCUUGUAGUACUGGGACUCUAACCAUAGGCCAUGAAUCUGGUCUUGGGACACUGUCAGGUGGGCAGUUUGACUGGGGCGGUCGCCUCCCAAAAGGUAACGGAGGCGCUCAAAGGUUCUCUCAGUACGGUCGGAAAUCGUACGUAGAGUGUAAAGGCAAAAGAGAGCUUGAUUGCAAGACAUACAGGUCGAGCAAGGAUGAAAAUCGGACUUAGUGAUCCGGUGGUUCUGCGUGGAAGGGCCAUCGCUCAACGGAUAAAAGCUACCCUGGGGAUAACAGGCUUAUCUCCCCCAAGAGUCCACAUCGACGGGGAGGUUUGGCACCUCGAUGUCGGCUCAUCACAUCCUGGGGCUGUAGUAGGUCCCAAGGGUUGGGCUGUUCGCCCAUUAAAGUGGUACGCGAGCUGGGUUCAGAACGUCGUGAGACAGUUCGGUCCCUAUCCGUCGCAGGCGUAGGAAAUUUGAGAAGACCUGUCCUUAGUACGAGAGGACCGGGAUGGACG
rnacentral:rRNA from 1 species